UGGUAUCAACGUCACGCCAAGCAGAAGAUACCAUAGAGUGGCACCGCAACGUCAGUAGUGAAAUGCGCAACUACCUCGUACAGAGACUGGUGCAAGCCAUUCCCCCCGACCCGGAGCCCAUCACAAUGCAGGACGAGAGCCAGAACCUGGUCAACUAUGCCAGAAAAGUCGAGGGAAACUUGUUCAGUAUGGCAAGCUCACAGGAGGACUACUUAACACGGGUAACAAUGAUGAUUCAAGAGCUAGUUGAGGGCCAGAUUCGUAUUGACGCCGCC
rnacentral:lncRNA from 1 species